CUUAAUACCACCGAUGAGGUACGGAAUAGACGUGACACCAUUGAUUCAGGACAGGACAGACGUGACAUCACCGACGAGCAUUGAGCAAGUAGAGACAAGCCGAAAUUACAGAUUUGGUGUGUUCGAAUUUGAGUUGCAGAGAAAACCACCGCUCGCAAUUUUGGGUGAUGCAGUAAUGAGGACACCUGCUCGCUGUGAAAAUCCAUUCAUUAGCUACGAAUCUGGGCCUUCAUUAGUUCCCUUUUUCAUGUUAGUUUUAAUAACAACUCAAUGCCGGUCAUAAAAAUGAGUACCUCUACCAUCUGGGAAUUAUAGAGCCGGACCUAAAACGACGCGCGCGAGUCAUCGAAAUAAACACUAUUGAAGUUAAACACCAAGUACUUUAAUAACACCCUAUACGUUCUGUUUCGACCGUUCGCGGAGAGACGCGCUCGCGAAAUAGUACGUCAACGAAAAUUCCCGUUACAAUUAGAUAAUCGACAUCACGAACUGAUCGAUCCCCUUAUUUCUGUUAGGAUAAUAGGGGUGGUUCGAUUGAGUAUACACUGAAUUAACAGGUAUAAAUUACAGUUUAUUCAAACAACUAGUUGACUAAAGAGAUAUAAAUUGAUAGAGUAUAAUUAGGUUUCGAUUGGUAAACAAAGUUACAGUGUAGAGUAAACAAUGUAAGCUUAGAGGGUGACAGGUCAGAAAAUGUAUAACGACUGACUUUCUGUGAAGGUAAUGCUGUGGAAGAAAACUUGUGAUGGGUGGGUCUAAGGACACGAAAUGAGCUGAUUUGUUAAGGACAAGUUUUCGUUAGGAGAGUGAGGGAAAUAGACUUAUCAAUUGGCUAAUUUUCUAGGUUGGUGGGUGAGGAAGAGUGCUAACCACCCCGAGAGAAAGUUGCUAGUGGGAAGCAUCAUACGUGAGAAAAACCAACUUUCCCGUGUCAACCUGUAGUAGACAAUAAAUUUAAAGAACAUUAAGACCUUAACUAUGAAAUUCCUGAGAUUUAUGGAGGGUCUUUAAGAAUAUUGAGGGUACGCAGUUGUUGAGGAAAAUGUUAGGUUGGUAUGAUCAUUAGUUCCUACAUGCAGAGUUGGUACGACUACUAAAGACGUUCUUUUGUUUCCCCGUCCGCCACGUGUUAAUUAUCAGAGAGUAUCCGGUGUGUUGUAAUGGCUGUACAUGGUGGUGAAAUACAGAGUAUACAAAAGUAAUCUGUGUGAAUCAAUUAAAUAUCGAACCUCAAAACCUAUUUAAUAACAACAGUAAGGAGAAGGUAGAGAGUCACCAGACGUAACAUAUCCUCCACUUCAAUGUUAUAUUCCAGAAAUAAUAAAAAUUCUAAGAAACAAUGACAUAUUGCUGAGAUAUGACUUCAAAUUUUUAGUAUUUUCAAAUAUUUACAUACAUUGGCUUGUUUAUUUACAUUUUUCGUUUGUUUAUUUAUUUAUCUUUAUCAAUUAAUUUAUGCUGAAUUUUUAAAGCCUCACUUCGCAUUGCUAAAGAAACGUGUGGCCUCGUGUUAUCGUGGUGGAACACGACGCCAUGUCUGCUCACCACCUCAGGACGUUUUGUGAUAAUGGCUUCCCUAAGUUUUUCGAGUUGGGUGCAAUAUUUUUCACUGUUGAUUGUUUGCCCUUCCGGAAGUAAUUCGUAGUAGAGGAUACCCUUCCAGUCCCACAAAUUUUUUUUUUUUUAUUUGGUAGACUAUUUACAAUCAAUUCUCAUUUUCUCUCCUCUCCUCGAGCGGUGAUAUCCCUUCCUUUUGGCGGACUGGCACACCUCCGCUUGGAUGGCUACAGAGACACGGUAAUUUUUUUCUUUCUAGAUGGUCUGUCCAUAUUAAUUAAUUAAGAAAAUAGAAUAGUCCGGGGAUAUAUCCAAGUUCGACGUAAAUUCAUUCCUCCUUUCCCGUUUCCAUUUCCGUUGCCAAGUUCGUCAUCAGUUCGUUCUUCCAUUCUCAUGUCCAUACCCGCAGCCAAUGUCAUCAUAAUUGUAUACCAAAUCUGUAUACAUACUACGAGAAUGUAACGUCAAUCUACAUCAGAGACCAGACUACACACCGCGGGCAGGAUGAUAGCCUGAUGUCUACACAUCCUUGGCGCGUACUCCCAAUAGUCUUAAGGACCCACCAUAGGUCUUGGCAUUUUUCAUAGUUAAGAUCUUCAGACCAAACAAGUAUCUUUUAUUUUACGUGCCCCUUUUACAUUUAUUGUUUACUACGGGUUAACACGGGAAAGUUGGUUUUCCUCACGUUCGGUAUCUUCCGUUAGCAACUUUCUCUCGAGGGCGGCUAAAACUCUUCCUGGUCCACCAACCUUCUUAUUAUCCAAUCGGAAGCGGUAUUUACUGCCCUAACCAAAAUUGUCAUCAACAAAUCCGAUGGUCCCGUGUCCUUAGACACACCCAUCCCUAGCUUUCCUCAGACACAGUAUCGUCAGUAAAACUUCACUUAUUCUGUAUCCUUAGAAUAGUCAACAUAUCUUUACCGAUUUCUAUCCUCAGACCAGUCGCAUACUUGAUCAGUGUAUACUCAAGUGUGAAUAUUAAUUGAAAAAUAAAGUUUAAUAAAAAAAGCAAAGUUAAUAAUUGUGUUACGGCUCAACCUUCUUGUUUUAUCAUCUAACCCUCAAGUUUACGUGACAACAACGUGUCGACAGGGCCUUAUCUGAAUGUUUGUUUGACUUUACCCGAAGGUCGCUAAUACCGGAUAGAUUCAAAUUAAAUGAUUAAUAACCGUUAUACUUUUCGUUUCUCACACAAUUUUUAUUAUAUCCUCCACUUACGUAUUCUUGUUCAGUGAGGAUAUUACCACCCAAUUACGCACAAACGUCUUGCAGCUCACCCACUCAAUCAUCAUACACGCCAAUUCUAUCUCCAUUGCCACACACUCACUCAUCCCCGCAUCACCCAACAAUAUUCCACCCCCAUGCAUUCUCCAGUCACUUCAGACUACUCAUACCCCUAAUUUCAUCUCACUAUUUCCUUGUAAUUAUUAUUACACUUCCCACCACAUUAAGCAAUUACAACCCAUUAGAAUCACACCGAAACUGAAACACUCCUACAUCCUCGUACAUACACCCGGCUAGCGGAAGCAACCCGUCAACAUGCCCGCUCUCCAACGCGUCCCGAAUGAGACUCUAACGGUAGAGUAAUCUGGUGGUUUGUUUACUUAAGCAAAAUGAGAUAAGGUCCCGAGUGGCGAACAUGAAAAGAACUUUCCGGGCGACCUAAUAAUAUAAUAAACUAAUUCUAAAAGUACUAUAAUCAUAUUUGAAUAAUAUUAAUUAAAGAUACACUUAUUUGAUGCUGUAGAAAUUGGUAAAAUUAUUUAAGUAUUACCUGUACCAAUUAAUGCUUUGCUCUAGUGAGAAGAAUUUGCGAACCUUUAUUCAUUCUCUCUGUCUAGCACCAUUCGUAUCGUCUGUUUUAGUCUCACAGUAUUGCCUUCUAUGUCUAGAACCAUUCAUAUCCUGUCCUUAUCACAUACUAUUGUCCUCUCUAUCUAGAACCGCUUGUAUUUCUGACCUUAUCGUACACUGUCGCCCUUCUGUCUAAUACGAGAGCAUAUGUUUGUCCUUAUCGUACAAUAUUACAUUCCUUAUCUACGAGCAAGCCAUGUUUUGCCACCUAUCAUGCUUCAAGUUGUAGUUAUUUCCCUUACGCAUUAGUGUACGAUAGAAACGGAUACAUAUGCUGUAUUGCACAAAAAGAGCGACAGUGUGCGACAAGGAAAGAUGUAUAUCUUGUGUUAGACGAAGAGGGCGACACUGUACAACGACAGGAGAAAAUUAGUGGAAACGGGAGCAAGCUAGUGAAAAGGUGUGGAAACAGGCGGAAACUGGCGGAGACGCGUGGAAACAGGUAGAAGCUGGAGGAGACGUAUGAAAACGCGCAUAAACGGAAAAAGAUGCGUAAAAAGGAAUGUUAGCGGGAGGAGAUGCGUGAAAAUGCAUUGAGUUUCACAUCACCACCAGUUAAUAGUUGAUGCACCUCAAAUAUAUCGUCUGUGCUUAGUGGUUCUUAAGAGAACGAUAUACAUAUUGUAUUUAAUUCAUUCAUCAUUUAAUUUAGAAGAAUAUAUAGUAACUAAUGAGAACAUUGUGGAAAAUGGUCACGUUUAUUUCGUAUCUCUUUUGUGGCUAUACAUCAGUACAUACACAUAUAUAUGCAUAGGCACUAUGUAUAAAAUACAUGCAUGUGUAAGACAGGAUGGAAAUAUAAUAUUUAUGAAUAAAAGAGUGUAUAUACAAACAAGUAGCUUGUUUAAUAAUUAUAGUAUUUGUUAAACAUUAACAUAAGUAUGUUACAAAACAGAAAUGUACUACUGUACAUUUGUACAAUUGUUUUUAUGCUGGUACUUGGAGUGUGAUAAUUGGUAAAUGCCAUAUGUCAAAUAUUUUGAUCAUUUAAACAUGGGGAAGAUGUUCUCCCUGUGGAUGGAAACCAUUCUCGUCGGCAACGUAGUUCACAGUGUAUGGAACAUUGGUAUUUG